rnacentral:lncRNA from 1 species
ACUCCACUGUUUGGCUGGGAAAGGACCGAGACGCGCUCAGUGCACAGGGGGCCGGCUGCGGCCAUAAAUCUCCGGGCGGGCCCUCCUUCCCGCUGCUCACGCCGGGGUGCUCCGGGCCGGUCUCGUGUCCCGGGCCACGCCGCGCACCCUGCUCACCCCAUCACGGCCUGGGGACCCGGAGACUGCGCAGGGAACCACGCCAGGAGCUUCUCCGUUCACCAAAGAGAGGGAACGGCCUCGUUCCUCGGUGUCAACACCAUCCAUCUCUGAGGGCGCUGGACCCUGAGGUGGCCCGAGCUUCACAGGAUCACCGCCUUGGGGUAGGGGCGCCCGGGCCUGGCAUUUCCUCCUAGGAAGGCUCGGUGAGACUGGGAUGGGCAUGCGGCUCUCCGCUCGAGCCCAACUCCGGUGCCACCUGCACCACGGAGGGGUGACCCCAGGGUCAGGGUCAGAGCGGCUUCUCAGAAUUCAGCUUGCCACCUCUCCGCGGACCCUGCCUUCAUCUCGUGCCUCCUCAGAGCCCUCUGCGGGCGCAUGAAGGGCCUUUUUUUUUUUUUUUUUUUUUUUUUUUGGCACAGGUGGACCAACGGGGGGUGUGACUGUGGGCACCGUGCGCGGAGGCGGAGGCUCAUCUGGUUCCCACCCUCCGUGCCGCUGGAUGCCCCAGGAUUUUCUCCAACCGGGGUCCCGGCUUGGAGCCCUCCUUGGUGCGAGCUUUGGCUCAGCAAUGGGGAAAGCGGGAAUGGGUCUCGCCCUUGUGGCUGCCUGGUGGAAGCGGCGGUUUUGACACACGAAUAGUCGUGGGGAGCAGAUCCAGAGAGGGCGCAUUUGCAAUAAUAACGCUUAGUUUAUCUCUGCCAGAGGGGCGGGAACAGGCCUUCGCGCUGGUGUCUUACAUCAGCCAAGCAAACCAUGGGCGCGAUUGGAGCCAACCACCUCCAGCGGGGUUUUGCUCCAGACUUAAGGUGCACGGAAACCGGAGCAUUCAGCCCUUCAUGGAUGCCUCCCGAAAACCUCACCAUGCCAGUGACACGACUGCAAACGGCGGGUGGCACAUGCCGGGGGCUUGGGAUGGGAGGGUUUGGAAACCUCGCUCCAAGGACGCCCUCAGCCAAGGAGCUUCGGCUCCUUCCUAGAAUUUCUAGAAGCACUUUUGGAGGGACCGAGGGCUUCCGGCCGGGCCCAGAGGAAUUUGAGCGCUUGCCCGGGCAGGCAGAAGCGCAGCCUGGGAGUGGAGAGGCUGCUGGGCCACAUUCCGGCCCAGCUUCCCCCGCUAGGCCCCAGCCCUGCCGCGGCGCCCCAGGAAGCACCUCCGAAAACAAAGCGCUGUGGUUUCAGCCCAAGGUUAAAGUCCACCGCGAGCGUGUUUUUUCCCCCCUCCAGAAUCUAAGAGCGAUAGCGUUUCUCCAAAUAAACCGCCAAUAAAUCAGCUCCCGGGGGCGCCUGCUGAAGAGCUCUGGUGACCUUGGGGGAUGGUUUUUCUGCCUGACCCGUCUGAGCACAGGCUUUGGGGAGGAGGGGGCAGUGUCAGCCCUACCCCUCCAGAGAGACGCGGAAGAGGGAAUGGCCAAGGGCAUUCGUGGGUGAUUACAGCAGUACGUGUGUACCCAGAGGAGAUGGGAGAGGCUUGGAAUGGGGGAAAGGGGCGACUGUGGUUAUCCGGGGGCCUGUAGUGCGCGGUCAGGAGGCGUUUGUGAUUGCGAGGAGGGCUGCUUGCUGUCGGUUCAACGAUUGCUGGAGCGCCGGCGGUGUCGGCACAGGUCUAGGCAUGGGGAAAGCACCACUGGGGACAGACACGGCCGCUUUGGGGCCCCGAGUCUUUGUCUGCCUGGGACUGGAUGUGUUUGUGUCGGUGUGACUAAUGGGAUUUAUGGAUGUCAGUGCCAGGGUGACUGAUGAAGGGCUUGGCAGCACGUGUGUUUGGGGAGAGGCGCUGCACCUAGGUGGGGAGUGGGUGCCCCGGGAGAGGACUGUCCCUUCUCUUAGAGGUUCCUUCCCCCACCCCCUCCCUGCCGGCUCCCAGCUUUGUUUAGGCCUCUGAACCCCUCCGGGGCAGGCCUGUGCACGCCGAGUUCUGCAGCAAAUUCCACGGCCAGCCUGUCCCUCAGAGGCACCUCAGCACGCCCCACCUCUCCCAGCCCCACCUCCCCAGCACACGCCACGCGUCCCAAAUCCAGGCUGUCCCACCCCCUUCCCAGGCAGAGCCUUCCCAGUUUGCUCUUUUCCCAUCUGAACUCCUUAUGGUGUGCUCUGAGCCCUGCUUCAGGCAGGCUUUGACGACCGUAUGGUUUGGGUACCGGCAUACCCAUUUAACAGAUGAAAAAGUUGAGGUGCAGAAAGGAGAUGUGACAAGCCCACGCAGCCAGGAAGUAGCAGGCACCCUGAACUAAACCAGGCAGCUUGCUGGGGACCCCACUGUGGAGGCCCUUUGCCUCUGGGAGCCCCCAGCCUGGCUGAGACUCGCUUAGAGAAGGUAGAGGCAAAGGCCACUCCCAUGACACAGGACACAACCUGCCACCCUUGUACUGUGCGUUAUAACCAUCAGUCCUCCCUGCCACUCGGUAAGGGCUGUCUCCUUCCCUGACCUGGCAUGAGGAAGGAGGGGGGCAGUGAAGGUCAGAGGACUAGUAGGAGAGCCUGGUUUGGCCUGGGGCAGGGUGGGGUGCUGAGGUCAAGGUAACCCAGGGGUCACUUUGGAGAUCAGGAGAGCCGUGGCUGGAAAGCAGGAGCUCCUGUGUGAUUCCACAGAACCUAGCGCAGACUCAGGUUCAGGACAAACCUGGAGAAUCCAUAUCCCCUCUCCCUUGGGAUCAUCUUUUUUUUUUUUUUUUUUUGGAGAGACGGGGGUCUCACUAUGUUACCCAGGCUGGUCUUGAACUCCUGGCCUCAAGCAAUCCUCCCACCUCAGCCUCCCAAAGUGCUGGGAUUACAGGCCCAAACCACCAAGCUUGGCCUCCCUUGGGGUCUCUUCUUUUUUUCUUUUUGAGACAGGGACUCGUUCUGUCGCCCAGGCUGGAGCACAGCGGCACACCCGCAGCUCGCUGCAGCCUCAGCCUCUCGGGCUCAAAAAAUCCUUCUGCCUCAGCCUCCCAAGUAGCUGGGACUGCAGAUGCAUGCCACCACGCCAGGCUAGCUUUUUUUUUUUUUUUUUAAUGUUUUAUAGAGAUUGGUGGGGGGAGGGCGGGUCUCGUGAUGUGCAGGCUGGUCUUGAACUUCUGGCUUCAAGCAGUCCUCCCUCCUCGGCCUCUCAAAGUGCUGGGAGCCACUCACAGGUGUGAGCCACCACGCCCAGCAGAGCUUCGUUUCCCAAUCUAGAAGUCUGUCAUACAAAAAGGCAUCCCGGUUUUCUCUCUCUCUCUCUCUCUCACACACAGACACACACACACACACACACACAGAGUCACCUCCCCCCACCUUUUUUUCCUUUUUAUCCUUCUUUGGCAUUUUCUUUCAAGCAGAAAAUAAAAACAUUUCCCAUGGCUACAGCUUUGAAAGCUUCCCUCUCCUAUCAGCCUCCAUCCCACGCCCACCCCAAUGUCAAUCCAUUUCUAGAGCCAGCGUCAAGUCAAAAACAAACCCACAAAGAUCAAGCCUGACAGGCCCCCUCCCGGCUGCCCUCCACUCUCUCUUCAUGUAUUGGUCUGCCUUCACCCCAGAGAGGAGCACGAGGUAGGAAUCCUAUCAUACACACACACACACACACACACAGAGGCACACACACAUACAGGCACACACACAGAUGCACACACACAUACAGGCACACACACAUACAGGCACACACACACAGGCACACACACAGGCACUCACACACACACAGGCACUCACACACCAGCUUCUAUGGCCAUGGAGACUCUCUA